rnacentral:lncRNA from 1 species
AGGAGACUCUUAGGCUGAAGGGCAGGCGGCUCUCCAUGAUGUAAUCCGUGCAAUCUGUGCGCUCGCAAGGAGAAGCAGCCUCCCGUUGGCCAAAGCGAAGAGUCCCCGCCUGGGCGCUCCUCCCGCCGCCCCCCCGGGGGCCCAUAAAAGCCCCGAGGCAGAGGCAGGGCAGCUUUCCCAGCCCCUGAGCUUGCAAAGGUGACCCAGGGACAGAUCUCAAAACAAACGCGUCUCAGAGAAGGAUCAAAACCUGUCUCUUUUCUGAGGGAUCCGUACACACAGAGAUCUUUGAAGAACAAAGAAUUUAGGCACAGUUCUCAUGACUUGCUGAUGAAGGUGUAUUUGGCAAGAGCUUUACAUCUGCAGCUUUACAUAACCUGAUAAAGUGCAACACAGGUACGAGCCCAGAGCUGAGAGCAGACAGCAGCACACAGGGGCACUGUGCUGGAUGGGAAACAAAUACCAAUUGGGUGAGGACUACACCUAAAAACCUCAGCCGAGUGCCUGAGUCUCACUGCAAGGCAAACUAUGCUGAAGACAGAAAUCAACUGACACGUUCAGUCUGGAGGAAUCCCCCGGGGUACCAGCAGAAUGCAUUACCAGUGCAUUUCUCCAGUGAGAUAUGAUGGGAAGAGCACAGAGCAAAAAAGAAGAGAGAAGAUGAAGAAACAAUCUCUCGAAGGAUACAGCCUGACAGUAAUACCGCCAUCUGACUAAAAAGAACUCAGACAUACGCAUAAUCCUCAGGAAAAUUCAUCUCCACCCUCCCAGCAGACCCUGGUGAGAGCCCUUGAAGUGGUAAUUAAAGUCUAUUGAGUGGCAACUGCACCUGUUUAGAAAGGAGAGUGUGGGUAAGAGGUGCACAAAGGGAGAUGAGCAGCAGAGAGGGAGUGUGAGCGAGGAGCUGCUGGAGGUGGGGAAGAAGGGAAGCGGAAAGAAGAAAAGGUAUAUUUGUUGGCGAAGCCAAUCCAAUACGAUGUGUAUUUCACAUUCUUCCCUUCAUUUGCUUUCUGCCUGCUCUCCUGCACCCCUUCACGCACACAGCCGGCUUCUACCCCACUCUCACACCCACUGAUGGAAACUCCAGGGGGCUUUCCCCGGCUAGCCCGGGCCCUGGACCAGCAGCUGUUCAUCUGGUGUAAAUCAACAGAGUUCCACUGAAGUCCUGGUGGAGUUACGAUCAGCUAGCGCUCAUUUACGCCAGCUGAAGAUCUGUCCCAGUGACACUCAUUAACAGUCACUGGGCUCCUCAGCCUGGCAGCUGGGACAUGCCAGUUCUUGUCUGCUGGGUUGUCUUUCUCCCUAGAAUAGAGCACAUCCCUUUGUGCGGGCUUUGUUGC